rnacentral:rRNA from 1 species
GUCUACAGCCACGCCACCCUGAACAUGCCCGAUCCCGUCUGAUCUCAGAAGCUAAGCAGGGUCUGGCCUGGUUAGUACUUGGAUGGGAGACCAGAGGCUGUAGGUG